rnacentral:rRNA from 1 species
GACGAACGCUGGCGGCGUGCUUAACACAUGCAAGUCGAGCGGUAAGGCCCUUCGGGGUACACGAGCGGCGAACGGGUGAGUAACACGUGGGUGACCUGCCCUUAGCUCUGGGAUAAGCCUGGGAAACUGGGUCUAAUACCGGAUAUGACCUCAUGACGCAUGUUGUGGGGUGGAAAGCCUUGUGCGGCUAGGGAUGGGCCCGCGGCCUAUCAGCUUGUUGGUGGGGUGAUGGCCACCAAGGCGACGACGGGUAGCCGGCCUGAGAGGGCGACCGGCCACACUGGGACUGAGACACGGCCCAGACUCCUACGGGAGGCAGCAGUGGGGAAUCUUGCGCAAUGGGCGAAAGCCUGACGCAGCGACGCCGCGUGAGGGAUGA